rnacentral:lncRNA from 1 species
CCUAUUUUAAAUAUAUGGAUUUGGUAAUAUCACAAGGAAUACAUAAAGAUCACAUUAUUACAUUAAUGAUUCCAACAACGGAGUUACAUAAACAAGAGCUGUAAUUUGUUGGCAUACUAGGAAUGAUCAGGUGCCCAAACAAGAUGAAAUUAACUUGCAUUAUCUAAAUUCAAAAGCACACACCCACACACACAUCAUAUAUUUUUGCUCAUUUUACUCCUGGCUUUUGGUAACAUUAGCUCCAUUCUCUUCUCCAUUAGUGGAAACCGCCGCCGUCGACGGCGAAGGCGAGGCGCUUGGAUUUACUUUUCUUUUUGAGCCCUUUUGGUUACUAGUGACCUUCUCUUCCUCCCCUCUCUUCUCCUUUUGUUUCUUGGUUUGCUCUUUUAGGGAGUUGAUGUAGCCAUAGGAAAAGCCCAUGGAACUCAUGGCUUAGAUGGAGGUGUUUGAAGGGGUUUUGGAUAUAAGUUGACUUUGUGCAAAGAUUGUGAUAGGAGUUGAUUGGCCGUGGGGGUAUUUAUAGAUCUCAAAGGACAUGUACUCUCUCUCUCUCUCUCUCUCUCUCUCAUAGAAUAUUAAUAUUUUGGGCAACAUAAUAUUAAAGCGAGCAUGUACUAAACUCUCUUAUUUUGGGCAACAUAAUAUUAGAGCGAGCUAGUUCUAAACUUAUUUAGUUUUAAGAGAUGUUUUGUUCCACAAAUUAUUUUUGGGAAAAGAAAAAAUCUUCCCAAAAAACAUCUUUCCGAUAGUUUUCAUUUUUUAAAUAAAAAUAACCUAGAAAUGGAAAGGAAACUUUUUUAUGAAAUCUGAAGAAAUCUUUUGCAGGAAAAAACUUUCCCUGGAAAUCAAACACCCAAAGUUUCUUAUUCAAUUCCCACAUAUAUCAUAAUGGUAUAAAUUCUUGUAUAUUACGUUUCUUAUUUUGUAGAUUUUUAAUGCACGUGAUAUGAUUCAUUUGAUCUAUAUAUAUAUAUAUAUAUAUAUAUAGNAAUUUUAAUGAGAGUUAUUAACCCGCAUCGAAUAUGGCAAUGUUAAUGGCAUGUCAAUAUUGAUGUACGUCGAUGUGCUGGGAAUUACUACGGAGACAAGAUAAGUAGUGCGGUGCAACCAAGCGAAGAACGCCCCUAAAAGAUUUGAUCUGUUGUAAAACUGAGUCAAAAAAAUUAUUAGGUAUACUAAUCUUAUUUUUAUAUAUACUAUUCUAAGAAAUGCUUUUUUUUUUUUUUACAAAAGGUAUCAAAGGUAAUCUCAUUAUUAUUAUAUAUAUAAAGUAAUAAAAUUUUAAAAAUUAUUUUUCAACUCUAUGCAACCAAAUAAAUUAUUUAUAAUUGCAUCGCUUUUUACUACAUCCAACCAAUCAUAAUGUAUAUAGUUGCAACUGCUGCAUUUCCAACUACACUGUGUUUGUAAUUACAUCUAACCAAACAGUCCCUAAAUAUUGAAAAUGGAGAUUGAAUCCACCACCAUAUAAAAUGAAGAGAUUUCGAAUUAACUUUUAUAUCAUAUUAACUAAAAGAUCAAUUUAGUAUAUAUAUAUAUAUAUAUCAACAAUCAAGACAUUAACCGACUGUCUCUAAGUGGCUUUGGCUUGGUGGUUGGUACCAAAGGUCGCAAAUUCGAAUUCUAGUUGAUUCACAUCUCUAGCUAAGUUUAUUUUUAAAUGAAAUAAACGAAGUGGGUGGCGUGCUACCUAUCUCUCAAAAAACUCAAUCGAGACAUUAAUAGCUCAUAAAAGUAAUAUUCUUGAGGGUCCACACAGCAAAGCUGGCAACUUAAUGUUUUCUCUACUAAUAAAAAGAUGCAAAAAAGGAAACAAAAAAUGAAAAAUUGCGAAUCGGACCUUCUAAUUAUAGGAUUUGCUUGUACUUACUAAAAUUAUCUCAAAUGGUGGCAAAUCAAAUAAUUCCGAACAGAGAAUUUACUAAAUUAUGAUUUGCAAUUUCAUCGAAAUUAGUGAUUUGGAGAACUUCAAACAGGAUUUGAUCCAAAAACCUUUUGUAGGGCAUUAAAUUCUUUUUUUUUUCUUAGCCUAUAUCAUGUAUUAAACUUCUAAUUAUCAUUUUAGUCGACCAAGUCGAUCAAGAAUUAAAUCAAAAUCUAAUUUUUGAGUGAAGAUUAAUGCUUCAGAUCUUGAAUACUUCAUUUGCAACCACUUAAAAAGAGCUCAAUUGACUUUUAUUCAUGAAAUUUUCUUUUUGAAUUGAAAUUUAUUGAGUUUCAUCGUUCAAUAAGAAAGGGAUAUUGAGCUAUUUUAUGGAAAUCCUAUUUUAAAUAUAUGGAUUUGGUAAUAUCACAAGGAAUACAUAAAGAUCACAUUAUUACAUUAAUGAUUCCAACAACGGAGUUACAUAAACAAGAGCUGUAAUUUGUUGGCACACUAGGAAUGAUCAGGUGCCCAAACAAGAUGAAAUUAACUUGCAUUAUCUAAAUUCAAAGGCACACACCCACACACAUAUAUAUCAUAUAUUUUUGCUCAUUUUACUCCUGGCUUUUGGUAACAUGAGCUCCAUUCUCUUCUCCAUUAGUGGAAACCGCCGCCGUCGACGGCGAAGGCGAGGCGCUCGGAUUUACUUUUCUUUUUGAGCCCUUUUGGUUACUAGUCCCCUUCUCUUCCUCCCUCUCUUCUCCUUUUGUUUCUUGGUUUGCUCUUUUAGGGAGUUGAUGUAGCCAUAGGAAAAGCCCAUGGAACUCAUGGCUUAGAUGGAGGUGUUUGAAGGGGUUUUGGAUAUAAGUUGACUUUGUGCAAAGAUUGUGAU